rnacentral:rRNA from 1 species
AUUGAACGCUGGCGGAAUGCUUUACACAUGCAAGUCGAACGGCAGCACGGACUUCGGUCUGGUGGCGAGUGGCGAACGGGUGAGUAAUGUAUCGGAACGUGCCCAGUCGUGGGGGAUAACGUAGUGAAAAUUACGCUAAUACCGCAUACGAUCUAUGGAUGAAAGCGGGGGAUCGCAAGACCUCGCGCGAUUGGAGCGGCCGAUAUCAGAUUAGGUAGUUGGUGGGGUAAAGGCCCACCAAGCCAACGAUCUUUAGCUGGUCUGAGAGGACGGCCAGCCACACUGGAAAUGAGACAAGGGCCAGGCUCCUACGGGAGGCAGCAGUGGGGAAUGUUGGACAAUGGGCGAAAGCCUGAUUCAGCCAUUCCGCGUGCAGGAUGAAGGCCCUCGGGUUGUAAACUGCUUUUGUACAGAACGAAAAGGUUUCUACUAAUACUAGGAGCUCAUGACGGUACUGUAAGAAUAAGCACCGGCUAACUACGUGCCAGCCGCCGCAGUAA